AUGCUUGCUUCAGUGGAAAUACUAAAAUUGGAACAAUACGUAGAAUAUUAGCAUGGCCCCUAUGCAAGGAUGACAUGCAAAUUUGUGAAGUGUUCCAUAUACUA